CAGGCUAUAAAUUAAGACGUUCUGUCUGGACACCGCACAUUGUGGAGACGGUGCAUUGUUGACGGAGUGAAGACUUUGUGUUCAUCAAGAACUGGUCUCUGUCUCAAGACUUCAGGUCUCUGAGAUUAGAAGAAAACUGAAUUUGUCCAAAUUGCAGCUUGGUUUUCUUUCUUGAAACAAAAUGGUAUUGGGUUCAACCACAAGAAAGAUCUGGGAUGAAUUACAUGUGGAUUUUCCGGAGUGGAUAAUGCAAUCAACAGAAUGCAUUGUGGAACUGCGCUUAAUUGCUGAUUCCAUUGAUGAUUAUCAUCAAAGUGCCAGCA